rnacentral:rRNA from 1 species
CCUACGGGUGGCUGCAGUGGGGAAUAUUGCGCAAUGGGCGCAAGCCUGACCCAGCGACGCCGCGUGAAGGAAGAAGGCCUUCGGGUUGUAAACUUCUUUUAAGAGGGAAGAGCAGACGCCGGUCCCUCUUGAAUAAGCCACGGCUAACUAUGUGCCAGCAGCCGCGGUAAUACGUAGGGGGCAAGCGUUGUCCGGCUUUACUGGGUGUAAAGGGCGUGCAGCCGGGAAGACAAGUCAGAUGUGAAAUCCCGCGGCUCAACCGCGGAACUGCAUUUGAAACUGUUUUUCUUGAGUACCGGAGAGGUCAUCGGAAUUCCUUGUGUAGCGGUGAAAUGCGUAGAUAUAAGGAGGAACACCAGUGGCGAAGGCGGAUGACUGGACUGCAACUGACGGUGAGGCGCGAAAGCGUGGGGAGCAAACAGGAUUAGAUACCCCGGUAGUC